rnacentral:rRNA from 1 species
UACGAAGGGUGCAAGCGUUACUCGGAAUUACUGGGCGUAAAGCGUGCGUAGGUGGUUCGUUAAGUCUGAUGUGAAAGCCCUGGGCUCAACCUGGGAAUGGCAUUGGAUACUGGCGACCUAGAGUGCGGUAGAGGGGUGUGGAAUUCCCGGUGUAGCAGUGAAAUGCGUAGAGAUCGGGAGGAACAUCAGUUGCGAAGGCGGCUCUCUGGACCAGCACUGACACUGAGGCACGAAAGCGUGGGGAGCAAACAGG